UUAGAAUUUCAAAGUUACUGUAAUGGUUUC
rnacentral:piRNA from 1 species